rnacentral:lncRNA from 1 species
UCAAUCUUCUCAUUUCUUGAUAACAAUAUACAAAAUUUAGCAAAACAAGAACACUAAUAACACUAUCAAUCUUCUCAUUUCUUGAUAACAAUAUACAAAAUUUAGCAUAACAAGAACACUAACAACAUUAUCAAUCUCCUUAUUUCUUGAUAACAAUAUACAAAAUUUAGCAAAACAAGAACACUAAGAACACUAUCAAUCUUCUCAUUUCUUGAUAACAAUAUACAAAAUUUAGCAAAACAAGAACACUAAUAACACUAUCAAUCUUCUCAUUUGUUGAUAACAAUAUACAAAAUUUAGCAAAACAAGAACACUAAUAACACUAUCAAUCUUCUCAUUUGUUGAUAACAAUAUACAAAAUUUAGCAAAACAAGAACACUAAUAACACUAUCAAUCUUUUCAAUUUUUCAUAACAAUAUACAGGUAAGUAUGCUAAGAAAAAAGAAGCAAAAAAAUAACUCACGAAAUAGAGUCCUGAAGAUGUGCGUACGGAUAUAGGAAGCAGCGGUGUGGCCUUUGAAGCCAUCAUAAAUUCCAACGAAUAGUGCGUCAUGGCUUACAUCGUCGUAGUUGUGAUCUUCCAUAUCCUUAUUUGACUAACAGAAGCCAUGGAGAAUUCCCCAUGGCAAUGCCUUUCAUUUUUGGGAGAUUUUGGUAAAGGGUCAGCGUUAAAUGUUUCUUGAUAACAAGAACACUAAUAACACUAUCAAUCUUCUCAUUUCUUGAUAACAAUAUACAAAAAUUAGCAAAACAAGAACACUAAUAACACUAUCAAUCUUCUCAUUUCUUGAUAACAAUAUACAAAAUUUAGCAAAACAAGAACACUAAUAACACUAUCAAUCUUCUCAUUUCUUGAUAACAAUAUACAAAAAUUAGCAAAACAAGAACACUAAUAACACUAUCAAUCUUCUCAUUUCUUAAUAACAAUUUACAAAAUUUAGCAAAACAAGAACACUAAUAACACUAUCAAUCUUUUCAUUUCUUCAUAACAAUAUACAGGUAAGUAUGCUAAGAAAAAAGAAGCAAAAAAAUAACUCACGCAAUAGAGUCCUAAAGAUGUGCGUACGGAUAUAGGAAGCAGCGGUGUGGCCUUUGAAGCCAUCAUAAAUUCCAACGAACUGUGCGUCAUGGCUUACAUCGUCCUAGUUGUGACCUUCCAUAUCCUUAUUUAACUAACAGAAGCCAUGGAGAAUUCCCCAUGGCAAUGCCUUUCAUUUUUGGGAGAUUUUGAUAAAGGGCCAGCGUUAAAUGUUUCUUGAUAACAAGAACACUAAUAACACUAUCAAUCUUCUCAUUUCUUGAUAACAAUAUACAAAAUUUAGCAAAACAAGAACACUAAUAACACUAUCAAUCUUCUCAUUUCUUGAUAACAAUAUACAAAAUUUAGCAAAACAAGAACACUAAUAACACUAUCAAUCUUCUCAUUUCUUGAUAACAAUAUACAAAAUUUAGCAAAACAAGAACACUAAUAACACUAUCAAUCUUCUCAUUUCUUGAUAACAAUAUACAAAAUUUAGCAAAACAAGAACACUAAUAACACUAUCAAUCUUCUCAUUUCUUGAUAACAAUAUACAAAAUUUAGCAAAACAAGAACACUAAUAACACUAUCAAUCUUCUCAUUUCUUGAUAACAAUAUACAAAAUUUAGCAAAACAAGAACACUAAUAACACUAUCAAUCUUCUCAUUUCUUGAUAACAAUAUACAAAAUUUAGCAAAACAAGAACACUAAUAACACUAUCAAUCUUCUCAUUUCUUGAUAACAAUAUACAAAAUUUAGCAAAACAAGAACACUAAUAACACUAUCAAUCUUCUCAUUUCUUGAUAACAAUAUACAAAAUUUAGCAAAACAAGAACACUAAUAACACUAUCAAUCUUCUCAUUUCUUGAUAACAAUAUACAAAAUUUAGCAAAACAAGAACACUAAUAACACUAUCAAUCUUCUCAUUUCUUGAUAACAAUAUACAAAAUUUAGCAAAACAAGAACACUAAUAACACUAUCAAUCUUCUCAUUUCUUGAUAACAAUAUACAAAAUUUAGCAAAACAAGAACACUAAUAACACUAUCAAUCUUCUCAUUUCUUGAUAACAAUAUACAAAAUUUAGCAAAACAAGAACACUAAUAACACUAUCAAUCUUCUCAUUUCUUGAUAACAAUAUACAAAAUAGAGAGAUCAAAUACAAGAACACUAUAACACUAUCAAUCUCUCAUUUCUUGAUAACAUAUACAAAAUUUAGCAAACAAGAACACUAAUAACACUAUCAUCUUCUCAUUUCUUGAUAACAAUAUACAAAAUUUAGCAAACAAGAACACUAAUAACACUAUCAAUCUUCUCAUUUUCUGAUAACAAUAUACAAAAUUUAGCAAAACAAGAACACUAAUAACAUCUAUCAUCUCCUUAUUCUUGAUAACAAUAUACAAAAUUUAGCAAACAAGAACACUAAUAACAUUAUCAAUCUUCUCAUUUCUUGAUAACAAUAUACAAAAUUUAGCAAAACAAGAACACUAAUAACACUAUCAAUCUUCUCAUUUCUUGAUAACAAUACAAAAUUUAGCAAAAGAACAACUAUAACACUAUCAAUCUUUUCAUUUCUUGAUAACAUAUACAAAUUUAGCAAACAAGAACACUAAUAACACUAUCAUCUUCUAUUUUUGAUACAAAUAUAAAAAUUUAGCAAAACAAGAACACUAAUAACACUAUCAUCUUCUCAUUUCUUGAUAACAAUAUACAAAAUUUAGCAAACAAGAACACUAAAAACACUAUCAAUCUUCUCAUUUCUUGUAACAAUAUACAAAAUUUAGCAAAACAAGAACACUAAUAACACUAUCAAUCUUUCAUUUCUUGAUAACAUUUACAAAAUUUAGCAAAACAAGAACACUAAUAACACUAUCAUCUUUCUCAUUCUUGAUAACAAUAUACAAAUUUUAGCAAAACAAGAACACUAUAACACUAUCAAUCUUCUCAUUUCUUGAUAACAAUAUACAAAAUUUAGCAAACAAGAACACUAUAACACUAUCAAUCUUUUCAUUUCUUGAUAACAAUAUACAAAAUUUAGCAAAACAAGAACACUAAUAACACUAUCAUUCUUCUCAUUUCUUGAUAACAUAUACAAAAUUUAGCAAAACAAGAACACUAAUAACACUAUCAAUCUUCUCAUUUCUUGAAACAAUAUACAAAAUUUAGCAAACAAGAACACUAAUAAACUAUCAAUCUUCUCAUUUCUUGAUAACAAUAUACAAAAUUAGCAAAACAAGAACACAUAAUACACUAUCAAUCUUCUCAUUUCUUGAUAACAAUAUACAAAUUUAGCAAAACAACAACACUAAUAACACUAUCAAUCUUCUCAUUUCUUGAUAACAAUAUACAAAUUUAGCAAAACAAGAACACUAAUAACACUAUCAAUCUUCUCAUUUCUUGAUAACAAUAUACAAAAUUUAGAAAAACAAGAACACUAACAACAUUAUCAAUCUCCUUAUUUCUUGAUAACAAUAUACAAAAUUUAGCAAAACAAGAACACUAAAAACACUAUCAAUCUUAUCAUUUCUUGAUUACAAUAUACAAAAUUUAGCAAAACAAGAACACUACUAACACUAUCAAUCUUCUCAUUUCUUGAUAACAAUAUACAAAAUUUAGCAAAACAAGAACACUAAUAACACUAUCAAUCUUUUCAUUUCUUCAUAACAAUAUACAGGGAAGUAUGCUAAGAAAAAAGAAGCAAAAAAAUAACUCACGUAACAGAGUCCUAAAGAUGUGCGUACGGAUAUAGGAAGCAGCGGUGUGGCCUUUGAAGCCAUCAUAAAUUCCAACGAACAGUGCGUCAUGGCUUACAUCGUCCUAGUUGUGAUCUUCCAUAUCCUUAUUUUACUAACAGAAGCAAUGGAGAAUUCCCCAUGGCAAUGCCUUUCAUUUUUGGGAGAUUUUGGUAAAGGGUCAGCGUUAAAUGUUUCUUGAUAACAAGAACACUAAUAACACUAUCAAUCUUCUCAUUUCUUGAUAAUAAUAUACAAAAAUUAGCAAAACAAGAACACUUAUCAGACUAUCAACCUUCUCAUUUUUUGAUAACAAUAUACAAAAUUUAGCAAAACAAGAACACUAAUAACACUAUCAAUCUUCUCAUUUCUUGACAACAAUAUACAAAAUUUAGCAAAACAAGAACACUAAUAACACUAUCAAUCUUCUCAUUUCUUGAUAACAAUAUACAAAAUUUAGCAAAACAAGAACACUAAUAACACUAUCAAUCUUCUCAUUUCUUGAUAACAAUAUACAAAAUUUAGCAAAACAAGAACACUAGUAACACUAUCAAUCUUCUCAUUUUUUUGAUAACAAUAUACAAAAUUUAGCAAAACAAGAACACUAAUAACACUAUCAAUCUUCUCAUUUCUUGACAACAAUAUACAAAAUUUAGCGAAACAAGAACACUAAUAACACUAUCAAUAUUCUCAUUUCUUGAUAACAAUAUACAAAAUUAGCAAAACAAGAACACUAAUAACACUAUCAAUCUUCUAAUUUCUAGAUAACAAUAUACAAAAUUUUAGCAAAACAACAACACUAAUAACACUAUCAAUCUUCUCAUUUCUUGAUAACAAUAUACAAAUUUAGCAAAACAAGAACACUAAUAACACUAUCAAUCUUCUUAUUUCUUGAUAACAAUAUACAAAAUUUAGCAAAACAAGAACACUAACAACAUUAUCAAUCUCCUUAUUUCUUGAUAACAAUAUACAAAAUUUAGCAAAACAAGAACACUAAAAACACUAUCAAUCUUCUCAUUUCUUGAUAACAAUAUUAACAAAAUUUAGCAAAACAAGAAACACUAAUAACACUAUCAAUUUUCUCAUUUCUUGAUAACAAUAUACAAAUUUAGCAAAACAAGAACACUAAUAACACUAUCAAUCUUCUCAUU